UACGUAGGCAGCGAGCGUUGUUCGGAAUUACUGGGCGUAAAGAGUGUGUAGGCGGUGCUCUAAGUUCGGUGUGAAAUCUCCUGGCUCAACUGGGAGGGUGCGCCGGAAACUGGAGUGCUUGAGCGUGGGAGAGGAAAGCGGAAUUCCUGGUGUAGCGGUGAAAUGCGUAGAUAUCAGGAGGAACACCAAAGGCGAAGGCAGUGUCCUGGGGAGUACCUGACGCUCAGGUGCGAAAGCCAGGGGAGCGGAACGGG
rnacentral:rRNA from 1 species